rnacentral:misc_RNA from 1 species
AUGGCCCACUACAGUAUAAUUGGGUUUGGCUCAAUCGCAUAACAAUCUUAUAAUUUACAAUUAUAAAUUAACGCGACUCCUUGGAUUAUUAGGGACCUUUUUAACAUUAUAGCAACAUCAUCACACAUAGCUCUCUACUUAUUUAACAGAAGACAUCGACGUUGGUAUUAUUUAACCCGCCAGUUACGCGGUCUCCUACAUGAAUCACAAACUAAGCAGUCGCUUAGUUCCUAAUAAUAAAUUUAUUACUUCCACGUCGCGGUGAGAAAUGGUGUGCAACGUAUAUAAAUAGAGUGGAGUAGCCUCGCGAUGUCUGUUACGACCAUCGAUCGUGGCGUGAGGCGUCCUCACCAACGCCAUCUUGGCCCUCGUGUCUCCCCCCUGCACUCCGCGCCCCACUCUCCUCUAAUGCCCCUCACUGCCCCACAUUCACGUUUCGUUUCGCACACACCGCACCGUAUGACUCGUCUCAAAACUGUCCAUUAUUGUAAUGAGCGUCAAUCAAAUUGUUUAUAUGUAAAUAAAAACUAUAGCAUAUUGAAGAAAAGGUAUAUCAAUUAAAAAUGUGACUCGGUUUACAUUUUAGCAAAUGUAGGAAGUGUAAAAAUAAACUGAGGUGACAUUGAAGAUUUUUCCGCGACCUGAAAACUAUGCCAGUGCUUUUAAAUGUAACGACGACCUAGUAAAUGAAAAAUAUUCACGUUUCGCUGACGAAUAUGAAUAAAGCAGCGUGUUUAGCCAAUUUAGCGUUUGUUUUAUGAAUACCUGUAUGUGUUUAGUUUAAUCAUAAUAAACAUGGCUUAUUAUUUUUCAAUUAAAUACUAAAGCCAUACUCGAUUUGCACUCUUU